rnacentral:rRNA from 1 species
CCUACGGGUGGCAGCAGUGGGGAAUAUUGCACAAUGGGCGAAACCCUGAUGCAGCGACGCCGCGUGAGUGAAGCAGGAAUUCGUUACGUAAAGCUCUAUCAGCAGGGAAGAAAAUGUCGGUACCUGAGUUAGAAGCCCCGGCGAACUACGUGACAGAAGCCGCGGUAAUAUGGAGGGGGCAAGCGUUAUCCGGAUUUACUGGGUGUAAAGGGGGCGUAGGCGGUGUGCCAAGUCAGGAGUGAAAUGUCGCAGCUUAACUGCGGAACUGCUUUGAAAACUGGCGAACUAGAGUGCGGGAGGGGGAGGCGGAAUUCCUGGUGUAGCGGUGAAAUGCGUAGAUAUUAGGAGGAACACCGGUGGCGAAGGCGGCUUACUGGACCGUAACUGACGUUGAGGCACGAAAGCGUGGGGAGCAAACAGGAUUAGAUACCCCAGUAGUC